GCGGGCGUGGUGGAACUGGUAGACACGCAUGCCUUAGGAGCAUGUGCUUCGUGCGUGAGGGUUCGAGUCCCUCCGCCCGCACUA
rnacentral:tRNA from 1 species